CAAUAGCGUAUAUUAAAGUUGUUGCGGUUAAAAAGCUCGUAGUUGGAUUUCUGCCGAAUGAGACCGACAGAUACCUCCGGUAUCCGUCAGGUGUGCAUGAGGCAUUUCUCAGUGUCUGUGUAAGUACUUGAUUGUGCUGCAUAAGCUCUGGGGCAUUUACUUUGAGGAAAUUAGAGUGUUUCAAGCAGGCAUCUGCCUUGAAUACAUUAGCAUGGAAUAAUAAGAUAGGGCUUCGGUUCUAUUUUGUUGGUUUCUAGAGCUGAAGUAAUGAUUAAUAGGGAUAGUCGGGGGCAUUCGUACUUAACUGUCAGAGGUGAAAUUCUUGGAUUUGUUAAAGACGAACUAGUGCGAAAGCAUUUGCCAAGGAUGUUUUCAUUGA
rnacentral:rRNA from 1 species